AUGAUUAUACCCUAAGACAAAGGUAUUAAAACACCAGCCUUGAUAAAAGGAUCAGAAGCAUUCAAUACAUUUGCCUAAAAUCGUAGAAGUGAUCAAAUUAACUAAUAAGGAGCGGCUUUUCAAGAAACAACCUAUUGUUAUGGUGAUAGAUGCACAAUGAAAGGUUGCCAGCCCAAAUACACUCCCCAUCAUGUGGAUUUGGACUUUAGAGGAACCAGGUUUAUCCUUUCACUACAGGAGCUCUGGAACCUCUUUGGAAGGAAAAAAGUUGGAACCUUGAGCGGCUUGUGGAUGACAUCUGCCCACGGAUUCUCCAAUGGAUCAGGGCAGGACAGUGUAUACGCCAGUAUGGAGCAGAGGACAUAGUGGAUCACGAUGUUCACCACAAGCGAAGCUAGGGCUUCCGUUUAUGGGGGAGUGAAAAGUCAUGCCAGGGCUUGUGAAUUAGAAUUGUAGUUGCUCUUAUUAGGUUAAUAAAUAUAAAAGGAUAGUGAAGAACAUGAAUUAGAAUUGAUGGUCUAUAUAAUCCAGAUAGAGAAGCUAUAACUUUUGAUAUGGUCGUGCUUAGACAGCAUGUAAAAUAAUUUUAGGUUCUGAUGCUCAAUCCUGGCUUUUGGCAUUGGCAAAAAAAUUGAUAUUUAGUGUUAACAGUUUAUGUUGGAAUAAUUGUCCACAUUGGAAAAAUACAAAGAUGAAAAUGAUGAAUAUAAGUGGUUGGUUUGCAACAUUGAAUUAGCUAAUUAUUUUGAUGUGUAAAACAAUUCAAUUACUUGUAUAUAAACCUCUAUUAAAAUGUAUUAAUACAUGAUUUGCCGAGUACUAUCUCCAAAUUUAACAAUAUCAAGCCCAUAAUCCUAUUUAUACAAUACCUGCGCAAAUUUCUUUGUAGCCGGCAUAUUGUGUUUGGCUCUUCAUAUAGUAUUUCAUAGAUGUUAUACUUGGAAAUUUACAUGAUGUUGUGUUUGGCUUUACAGCUAGCAUUGCCAGUUGGAAAUAGCCCAUAGCUUUUAUAUAUACUUUCAUAAAUGUUACUUUUAGAAUCUCUGAAGUUUUUAUGAAUUUUAAUUAGUAAGUUGCAUUUUAAUUUCUGAGCUUCUUCCUUACCAAAAACUUUUUAAAUAAUGAUCUUCAAAUUUUCAGCUAAUUUUGUCAUCAUUCUGAAUCUUAUAAUUUAACUGUUUCUACUGACCAAUCUUCUUGCAGCCUUUUAGAGAAAAUCUAUCUUUUGAACUUAUGAUCGUGGGACUUUGUCCCCUAAAGAAUGCAUAGAUAUUCUUAUUUUUGUCUCACACUUUUCCUAGGUGUUAUAUUAUUCCAAAACCAUGAGAUAUUGCUAAUAUUAAAGGGAUGUCAAUCAAUCAUUCAUUUGUUUUUGUUUCCCGCUCAUUAGUCAUUUUUCAAACUCAAUUAUGUGUAUCUUUUCCUGCUUCCUUGUUCAAAUGGUUUAAUAUCGUAGUACAGGUAUCGCUGGAGCAAGGAUGCAUUGCUACUAUCACAGAACACAUGCUUGACUACGAAGUUAUUGCAAUGGUUAUAAUCUUGGGGCCAUAGCUGAAGCACAUUCAAACUCAAGUUCAAGAAAAUGAUAGAGGGAUGAUUUCUGAACAAUUGCACAUGCCUUUUCAUGGCUUAAGUGGCCAUGUAAAAUGAAAUUCUAGUAAUUGCUUCACCAAACUGUUAUUUGUUGUAUCUUGCGGCGGAUUUGGUCCUAAGCAAUAGUUUACUGAACCCCACCAAGGGAAAACAAAGCUUGAAGUUGGAGGAAAUGUUAAAGGCAUCUUUGAUCUGGGACCUGGUAUAGUUGUUCCCUGGAAGCCUGGCACCGGUUGAGGAAGAUGAUAGCUGCCUGAUGUCUUUGUGCAUGAUGAAAACACUGGGAUAACAGAGGUUUGCCAUUCUCUCAGAGGAGAAACUGGGUCUGGCACGGGCACUCUUUUGAUCUCCAAGAUCAGAGAGGAAUACCCAGAUCGAAUGAUUCCUACUUUCUCUGUUUUCCCAUCUCCUAAGGUCUCUGAUACACUUGUUGAGCCUUACAUUGCGACUUUUUUUGUCCAUCGACUUGUCAAAAUGCAGAUGAAUGCAUGGUCCUUGAUAAUGAAGCUCUUUAUGAUAUA